UACGUAGGGUGCAAGCGUUGUCCGGAAUUAUUGGGCGUAAAGAGCUCGUAGGCGGUUUGUUGCGUCGGCUGUGAAAUCCCGAGGCUCAACCUCGGGUCUGCAGUCGAUACGAGCAAACUAGAGUGUUGCAGGGGAGACUGGAAUUCCUGGUGUAGCGGUGAAAUGCGCAGAUAUCAGGAGGAACACCGGUGGCGAAGGCGGGUCUCUGGGCAACAACUGACGCUGAGGAGCGAAAGCGGGGGGAGCGAACAGG
rnacentral:rRNA from 1 species